ACGAACGCUGGCGGCGUGCUUCACACAUGCCAGUCGAACGGAAAGGCCCUGCUUUUGUGGGGUGCUCGAGUGGCGAACGGGUGAGUAACACGUGAGUAACCUGCCCUUGACUUUGGGAUAACUUCAGGAAACUGGGGCUAAUACCGGAUAGGAGCUCCUGCUGCAUGGUGGGGGUUGGAAAGUUUCGGCGGUUGGGGAUGGACUCGCGGCUUAUCAGCUUGUUGGUGGGGUAGUGGCUUACCAAGGCUUUGACGGGUAGCCGGCCUGAGAGGGUGACCGGCCACAUUGGGACUGAGAUACGGCCCAGACUCCUACGGGAGGCAGCAGUGGGGAAUAUUGCACAAUGGGCGGAAGCCUGAUGCAGCAACGCCGCGUGCGGGAUGACGGCCUUCGGGUUGAAAACCGCUUUCGCCUGUGACGAAGCGUGAGUGACGGUAAUGGGUAAAGAAGCACCGGCUAACUACGUG
rnacentral:rRNA from 1 species